rnacentral:rRNA from 1 species
AUGUCCUUCGAUACCCACUUUAAUGUGGAAGAUAUGGCAACGUUGAUCCUCAUCUUCUUGUUAUUGAAGUGUCAGGACCUUGGAGAUAAUGAGAGUGGGUCUUUAAUCACUAUCACAAAAGACUUGAGUGUCUUCCUCUUCAUUCACUUGUCAAUGCAUGGCCAUGUGUUCAAGUGCUUCCAUUUCUUCUUUGCUCAUGGAGUUGUAGGUGCCGUCAUAAUUUGCAAUCAUGGUGCGUCUCAUUGGGCAUUGGUACGUCUUGUGGCCACGACAUUGGUAAGUGAAGCAUUGAAUCAAACUUGUAUUGGCGGUAGCCUCCGUUGGAGUAGUUGA